GAUGAACGCUGGCGGCAUGCUUUACACAUGCAAGUCGGACGGAAAGUGGUGGUUCUAGCUGCUGUCGGGUUAGUAACGCGUAAGAACCUGCCCUGUGGAGGGGAACCACAUCUGGAAACGGUUACUAAUACCCCGCAGGCCUAGGAGCGAAUGAGGUAAUCCGCCGCAGGAGGGGCCCGCGUCUGAUUAGCUAGUUGGUGAGGUAAUAGCUUACCAAGCCCGUGAUCAGUCGCAGGUGCGAGAGGAUGAGCAGCCACACUGGGACGGAGGCAAGGGCAAGAAUCCUACGGGAGGGGGCAGAGGGGAAAUUGACGAAAUGGGCGAAAGCCUGAAGGAGCUACGGAGCGUGAAGGUAAGUGGCUUAGGGAUAAUGAACUUCUUAGCCUGGAGGAGAGACAAUGAGGGUAUCAAGGAGAUAGGCAUCGCCAACCUCUGU
rnacentral:rRNA from 1 species